rnacentral:rRNA from 1 species
ACUCAAAGGAAUUGACGGGGGCUCGCACAAGCAGUGGAUUAUGUGGUUUAAUUCGAUGCAACGCGAAGAACCUUACCAGGGAUUGACAUGCCGAGAACCUCUUAGAGAUAGGAGGGUGCCUGAAAAGGAACUUGGUCACAGGUGGUGCAUGGCUGUCGUCAGCUCGUGCCGUGAGGUGUAUAGUUAAGUCUAGCAACGAGCGCAACCCUCGUCUAAAGUUACACAGUACUCUUUAGAGACUGCCGGUGCAAGCCGGAGGAAGGAGAGGAUGACGUCAAGUCAGCAUGCCCCUUAUAUCCUGGGCUACACACGUAAUACAAUGGUAUAGACAAUCGGAAGCAAACCCGCGAGGGUAAGCGAAUCUGCUAAACUAUACCUCAGUUCGGAUUGUAGGCUGCAACUCGCCUACAUGAAGCCGGAAUUGCUAGUAAUCGCCGGUCAGCUAUACGGCGGUGAAUACGUUCCCGAGCCUUGUACACACCGCCCGU